CAUCGUUCCGUGUGGCCUGAUUUAGUUUCUAAUAAUACUUCUGACUUUGGGAUGGAUGUUGGAGCGUUGUUUUGUUGUAGUUUUGCUGCUUUUGCCGACCUUGGGCAAGUGGAAGUUCUGUUUUCUGUUGAGAAGCCACAACGUUUCAUUCUCUUUCCAUUGUACAGGUUUUUGUUUGUUUGAGACGGAGUCUCGCUCUGUCACCCAGGCUGGAGUGCAGUGGUGCAAUCUCUGCUCACUGCAACCUCCGCCUUCCGAGUUCAAGCGAUUCUCCUGCCUCAGCCUCCAGAGUAGCUGGGACUACAGGCACCCGCCACCACUCUCAGCUAAUUUUUGUAGUUUUAGUAGAGACGGGGUUUCACCAUGUUGACCAGGAUGGUCUCGAUCUCUUGACCUCGUGAUCCGCUUGCCUCGGCCUCCCAAAGUGCUGGGAUUACAGGCGUGAGCCGCGGCGCCCGGCCUGUACAUUGUUUUUAAAACUCCAGCCACCUUUUUACCCCCACCAUAAAAUUAUACACAAAUGACAGCC
rnacentral:lncRNA from 1 species